rnacentral:rRNA from 1 species
CCUACGGGCGGCAGCAGUGAGGAAUAUUGGUCAAUGGGCGCGAGCCUGAACCAGCCAAGUAGCGUGAAGGAUGACUGCCCUACGGGUUGUAAACUUCUUUUAUAAAGGAAUAAAGUGAGCCACGUGUGCCUUUUUGUAUGUACUUUAUGAAUAAGGAUCGGCUAACUCCGUGCCAGCAGCCGCGGUAAUACGGAGGAUCCGAGCGUUAUCCGGAUUUAUUGGGUUUAAAGGGAGCGUAGGUGGGUUGUUAAGUCAGUUGUGAAAGUUUGCGGCUCAACCGUAAAAUUGCAGUUGAUACUGGCAGCCUUGAGUACAGUAGAGGUAGGCGGAAUUCGUGGUGUAGCGGUGAAAUGCUUAGAUAUCACGAAGAACUCCGAUUGCGAAGGCAGCUUACUGGACGGCAACUGACACUGAGGCACGAAAGUGUGGGUAUCAAACAGGAUUAGAUACCCUUGUAGUC